AAACGCGAUUCGAUACGCGUAAAUGUGCAUUUAUACGUUUCAAUACGCGUAAUCACGUUUAAUGCGCGUCGCGUUUGAUACGCGUAAUCACACACUUAUCAAUCCGCAUAAGUAUGUAGGUAAUCACGUAUAACCGUUUCAGUAUAAGUGUGGCUAUACAAUAGUGCAUUAUUAUAAUAAACAUACUAUGACAUAUAUUAUAUCAAUGAGUGUGUAUCAUGAUGUAGGGAAAUAAAAUUAUGUUGUAUAAAAGAAACGCGAUUCGAUACGCGAAAAUGUGCAUUUAUACGUUUCAAUACGCGUAAUCACGUUUAAUUCGCGUCGCUAUUGAUACGCGUAAUCACACACUUUUCAAGUAUGGUAAUGUAAUCACGUAUAACCGUUUCAGUAUAAGUGUGGCUAUACAAUAGUGCAUUAUUAUAAUAAACAUACUAUGACAUAUAUUAUAUCAAUGAGUGUGUAUCAUGAUGUAGGGAAAUAAAAUUAUGUUGUAUAAAAGAAACGCGAUUCGAUACGCGAAAAUGUGCAUUUAUACGUUUCAAUACGCGUAAUCACGUUUAAUUCGCGUCGCUAUUGAUACGCGUAAUCACACACUUUUCAAGUAUGUAGGUAAUCACGUAUAACCGUUUCAGUAUAAGUGUGGCUAUACAAUAGUGCAUUAUUAUAAUAAACAUAUUAUGACAUAUUAUAUCAAUGAGUGUGUAUCAUGAUGUAGGAAAAUAAAAUUAUGUUGUAUAAAAGAAACGCGAUUCGAUACGCGAAAAUGUGCAU